UCCUGUUCGAAAUUUUUAGUGUUGUUUUGUAUGUUUGCUUGUAUUGGAAUGUUACUUUUUGUUUUGUUGGAGAUUUUUUUAGUUAACUUUUUAAUCCUCAAAGACUGUCCACACAGAGUACAUGCAGAGCUAGACAAGACGAACAUUUGAGCUUAAAAAGUAUAUAAAAGGUAAUUUUUAAAUUAUAACCAAUCAUUUUGCGAGUUAAGAGCCUUCUUCCUGGGCUGGGAUGGAGGUUUAGAGCCCUUUGAUGCUGCAUUUAAUCUGCAUUCAGGAAGGUCAAACUCGUGGGCACCAUAGAAGUCCACUAUAUGGAGAAGAAACCUGAAAUGUUUUCCUCAAAAGACAUCAUUUCUUUACGACUGCAGGAAGAAAGACAUGAACAUCUUGGAUGACAAGGGGGUGAAAAACCAGGAAGCUGCACUGAUGAAUGGAUGAUCAGUUUUGAGGGGCAAAUAAUCUGUGAGGGCAUCCAGCCAAGUUUUCAGUCUGGGCUUGCUGCUGUGUUUUCGAGGCACCAAGGGUGGACAUGUCCUGUCAAAGCGGACAAGGAAGGUCACCCACAAAAAGAAAUCAGUCAACACUCGGGUUGCCAGUCUACUUAAAAGACUAAUGGACUUUGAGUGGGACUUCAUAUAAGUGAACCCACUCAUUCACUGACAUACCACACACACACACACACACACCUUACACAUACUCUUCACACACGACAUAAACCUGCUUUUAUUUAAAUUUUGAUUUCAUUCUUCCUUCAUUCAGUAAUUCCUAUUCACUAAGUAGUUAGUCACUCAUUUAGUUUUAUCUAAUGUUACAUAAAUGUUUUGUUUAUUCAGUUAAACAUGUUUAUUCUGAAGCUUAAGUUUAUUUAGUCAUUCCACU